UGAUGAUGGCGGCCUUUUGCAUAAAUUAGAAACAUUCUAUAACUUUAUCAGGCCAUACGCCUUGAUGGGAAUUAAUGUCGGGAUAUUAUCAAUUUCACUUCUGCCACUAUCAUCAUUUGCUGAUCUUUCUCCGAGAUUUUUUAUAGGAUUGCUACAGGGAUUGACACUGGGAUCAUUGAUUCACAUCUAUGUAAUCGCAAUAAAUCAACUGUUUGAUGUUGAAAUCGACAAGGUUAAUAAGCAAGAUCUUCCAUUAGCUUCUGGGGAAUACUCAAAUAGAGAUGU